UUACGGCCACAUCACGUUUAAAUACCAGUUCCCGUACGACCACCAAAGUUAAGCAACGUCUACCCUGGUCAGUACUUAGAUGGGUGUCCGCUUGGCAAUACUAGGUGCAGUA